CCUACGGGAGGCUGCAGUGGGGAAUAUUGGGCAAUGGGCGCAAGCCUGACCCAGCAACGCCGCGUGAAGGAAGACGGCUUUCGGGUUGUAAACUUCUUUUGUCAGGGAAGAGUAGAAGACGGUACCUGACGAAUAAGCCACGGCUAACUACGUGCCAGCAGCCGCGGUAAUACGUAGGUGGCAAGCUGUGACCGGAGUUACUGGGUGUAAAGGGCGUGUAGCCGGGUUGACAAGGCAGAUGUGAAAUCCUGCGGCUUAACCGCAGAACUGCAGUUGAAACUGUUGUUCUUGAGUAGUGGAGAGGCAGACGGAAUUCGUAGUGUAGCGGUGAAAUGCGUAGAUAUUAGGAGGAACACCAGUGGCGAAGGCGGUCUGCUGGAGAGCAACUGACGGUGAGGCACGAAAGCGUGGGGAGCAAACAGGAUUAGAUACCCUAGUAGUC
rnacentral:rRNA from 1 species